AAGAAUUUAAGUUAAAUUAAACUAUUGACCUUCAAAGUCAAAAAUAUAGAAAAUAACCCCUUUAAUUCUUA
rnacentral:tRNA from 1 species